rnacentral:rRNA from 1 species
ACGGGUGCGGAACACGUACACAACCUUCCUUNAAGUGGGGAAUAGCCCAGAGAAAUUUGGAUUAAUACCCCGUAACAUAGCGAUGUGGCAUCACAUUGCUAUUAUAGCUUCGGCGCUUAAUGAUGGGUGUGCGUAUGAUUAGAUAGUUGGCGAGGUAACGGCUCACCAAGUCUACGAUCAUUAGCUGAUGUGAGAGCAUGAUCAGCCACACGGGCACUGAGACACGGGCCCGACUCCUACGGGAGGCAGCAGUAAGGAAUAUUGGUCAAUGGACGCAAGUCUGAACCAGCCAUGCCGCGUGAAGGAUUAAGGUCCUCUGGAUUGUAAACUUCUUUUAUAUGGGACGAAAACAGAUCUUUCUAGAUCCUUUGACGGUACCAUAUGAAUAAGCACCGGCUAACUCCGUGCCAGCAGCCGCGGUAAUACGGAGGGUGCAAGCGUUAUCCGGAUUCACUGGGUUUAAAGGGUGCGUAGGCGGGUAGGUAAGUCAGUGGUGAAAUCCUGGAGCUCAACUCCAGAACUGCCAUUGAUACUAUCUAUCUUGAAUAUUGUGGAGGUAAGCGGAAUAUGUCAUGUAGCGGUGAAAUGCUUAGAUAUGACAUAGAACACCCAUUGCGAAGGCAGCUUACUACGCAUAUAUUGACGCUGAGGCACGAAAGCGUGGGGAUCAAACAGGAUUAGAUACCCUGGUAGUCCACGCCCUAAACGAUGGAUACUCGACAUACGCGAUACACUGUGUGUG